rnacentral:lncRNA from 1 species
UUUUCCUUAGCUUUCCAUCGACUGGUAGCACGUCUCAAUCCGAUACUCCUAGCUCAAGAUAUGAUUUUUCUCGCGAAAGCUGCUAAUGUUGAAAAUUAAAUAAGUGUAAAAAUAAAAUAAAUUAUGAAAACACAUUAAAACAUAAAAAUAAUCAAAGCAAACCGAAGAAAUGCUUAAGUACAAACAUGGAAGAACAUGCAUCAAAAUGCACUGAUCAAAUUCUCCCACACUUGAACUUUUGCACUCCGAGCAAAAUGAAAAACAAAACAAGAC